AAAAUGAUGACGUCAACUCUCUAUGGGUCUGUGCAAUGCUGCGAUCAAGCACAUUCAUAUGUCCAGUUACCCAAACGAAACAGUGGAGUUUGAAUGAAUGAUGAGACCACGUACGAGAUGCAGAACUGGGUUGCUUCUGACCCAGAAUCUGUGCUGGUGGAACUCAUUGCUGAUGUCCCCUGGAGUGUCAGCACUGGCUGUUCUAGUUCUUCAAAAGAAGGCCAUUUUCUGAGGUUUCACUCCAAGCAUCUGCAAUGCAAGUUGUUGAGAAUUAGGACUUUGAAGGACAAGGUCUUUGGCAUGCUUGUCCAUUAAAAAGUCUCCAACGUGUUUGCAUGUUUUCCAAAGGACUUUGGGGAGCAACCUCUUGCUUUCUGCCCAGUGACAAGUGAUGACCUAUUUUCCUCAGUCUCCAAACAGCACUGCUCUCAGCAGAAAUUAAGAGGAAAGGCAUUGCUAACACUGUGUCCAGAUGCGAUGGACUACAUUGAUAACCAAUGAAUUGGUUCCCCCCCCAUGCAAUUAAGAGGUUUUGUUUUAACCAGCCACAAUGAGCUGCAGGACAUUUUGUUUAUCGGCUUAUACUGUAUUUCUGUAGCAUCACACUGGGUAGCCCCGCCCACAGUGGAAUCCCAUUGGUCAAAUCCUGCUCUGCAUAACUGUACUGUAUAUCAAACAUUAAAUAUGUCCUG